AACGUGUAAAGAACUUACCAUAUAGACUGGGAUAACAGAGGGAAACUUCUGAUAAUACUGGAUAAGUUANGUAGUAGCAUUACUAAGUAAUGAAAGGUAGCAAUACGCUAUAUGAGAGCUUUGCAUCCUAUUAGCUAGUUGGUGGGGUAAAAGCCUACCAAGGCGAUGAUAGGUAGCCGGCCUGAGAGGGUGGACGGCCACAAGGGGACUGAGAUACGGCCCUUACUCCUACGGGAGGCAGCAGUGGGGAAUAUUGGACAAUGGAGGCAACUCUGAUCCAGCAAUUCUGUGUGUGUGAAGAAGNUUUUAGGACUGUAAA
rnacentral:rRNA from 1 species